rnacentral:rRNA from 1 species
AUUGAACGCUGGCGGCAGGCCUAACACAUGCAAGUCGAGCGGAUGAAGGGAGCUUGCUCCUGGAUUCAGCGGCGGACGGGUGAGUAAUGCCUAGGAAUCUGCCUGGUAGUGGGGGAUAACGUCCGGAAACGGGCGCUAAUACCGCAUACGUCCUGAGGGAGAAAGUGGGGGAUCUUCGGACCUCACGCUAUCAGAUGAGCCUAGGUCGGAUUAGCUAGUUGGUGGGGUAAAGGGCUACCAAGGCGACGAUCCGUAACUGGUCUGAGAGGAUGAUCAGUCACACUGGAAGUGAGACACGGUCCAGACUCCUACGGGAGGCAGCAGUGGGGAAUAUUGGACAAUGGGCGAAAGCCUGAUCCAGCCAUGCCGCGUGUGUGAAGAAGGUCUUCGGAUUGUAAAGCACUUUAAGUCGGGAGGAAGGGCAGUAAGUUAAUACCUUGCUGUUUUGACGGUACCAACAGAAUAAGCACCGGCUAACUUCGUG